CAAGCUUGAUUCUUUCUACUUUGAAUAUAAUCUAUACACAGAUAGCAAAUCAGCAAAUGAAGUCAAUGUUUCAAUCCUGCAUAUACUGCGUUGUGAAAAAAACCCUUUCUGAUUUCUUUCUUUGUUUUCUUGCAUAUUUGUCACACUUACAUGAUUCAGAUUUUCAAAUAAAUUUUAAUACUAGACAGAAAUAAUAAAACGAACUAAAAUAAUUCUUUACAGUAUUGCUUUGUCUUGAUACGUGCUCAAUCAUCCAGGUAAGUAAAUCCCAAAAGGUUGAUUGUGUUCAUCUGGCCGUAGUGUUUUCAGUGGGAGAAACGUUUCGACUUCUUCAGUCUCAGCUAACUGCAGGUUUCCCCAAUCAUAUAAACAGGACAUUUGCAUGACUGAAACCAGCUCAGCUCAGUGGACCAACACCUCAAAUUCACCAGGGAGGAUAUGAAAAGUGGCAGGUUGGCUUCCAUAGAAGCAGAAAUUGGGGACAUUUAAAAAUUGAUGUGUACCGUAAACCUACGCAUACGGAUCAGUAUUUAAGGUUUGACUCUCAUCAUCCACUGGAGCAUAAACUGGGUGUCAUCAGGACGCUACAACACAGAGCGAACACCAGAAGAACAUCACAUCAAGAAGGCCCUGAGUAAAUGUGGUUAUCCCAGCUGGACAUUUGUCAAAGCUGGGAAGGUGCCUAAAGAAAGCUCCAGCCGAUCCAGGGGAGAAGGACAACCGCUGCGAAAACUAGUAGUGAACCUGUACGUGUCAGGAAUAUUGGAACAGUUGAGACACAUUUUUUUCUAAACACCGCAUCUCCGUGGCUUUUAAACCCCAAAUCCUUGGUGUAACUCCGAAAUGACAACACAGGCACGGCUUCUUCAAGACGGGCGCUUCGCUGCAUUUAUUGAACGCCGUGAAAACUACAAACAUAAAACACAAAGACUUUAAGCGCUUCAGUCUAUCAAAAUUAACACUUGUGCUUUAACAACGAAAAUUACCUCGUGGCCGCCUGCCACUUCGGAGGUCCUAGAAGAAUAGCUUUACAGUCUUGUGCAUUCUAAAUUAAAACAUAAAAUAAUUAGAACACCAUACAUUACAAAUUUUUACAAUAUCACAAUACAGUUAUGGCAAAUGACAAAUACCUUGUACCGCUGGUAGACUAACCAGGCCUUUGCAGAUAGCUCGCUGGACUCCUUAGCGUGAUUAUUAAACGUGGGCUCACAGCCAAUACUAUCACGCCCAAACCUCGCGAUAAUAGCGGUGUAACAAAACUUGUUCUUUCUGACAAGAUAAACACACCCUUACAAUAUUGGCCACAGAAACGUACAAGCAAGAACAUUUUAACUGCUGGAACCAUCUAUUAAACUUCUUUAUACAUAAGCCAUUUCUGUGACACUUACACUUGGGGCUCCACCCCAAGGAUCGGGUCCCCCGACACAAACAUAGUAACAUAGUGUACGCUGUUAAGUGCCAGGAGGAUUGCCAGGAUUUAUACAUCGGGGAAACCAAACAAUCUCUGGUGAAGCGGAUGGCACAACACAGAAGAGCAACCUCGUCAGGCCAGGACUCCGCAGUUUAUGUACACCUACAGGCCACAUGACACUCUUUCAAUGAUGAGGAUGUACACAUCCUGGACAGGGAGGAAUGCUGGUUUGAGUCAAGGAGGCCAUUUACGUGAAAAGGGAAAGACCAUCUCUGAAUCGAGGAGGGGGCCUAAGGGUACAUCUAUCACCAUCUGACAAUGCUGUGAUUGCAGCCAUUCCCCAACUCUCUGUGAAUGGGACUCAUGGCCAUUAAUCAAUGAUCAGUUUAACUUGAUCAGUGGUUGUUGAUCAGUGGUUAUGACAAUUUGCAUGUUAUUGAUCAAGGACCUGACCUCACAGCCCAUUGUACCAUCUUUUGGAAUUUACAGUACUGAUUUGAUUCAGCUAAACUGGACACUUUUUGCACAUGAAUGGUCUGUUGGACUAUUUUAGGUUAUACCAAAGCAUCUCAUCAUUGUUUUAAACCCCAAAAUAGCAUAUAUCAAUAAAUCAGAAUCAUUUGGAACCAACAGUCUUUCUGCAGUUUCCAUAUAAUCUAAUAUCCCCCUAUAUGCUAGCAUGUUUACAUUCAGGUAACCAUGUUGUAAGAGACAGGCCUGAACGUUUAAGGCAACAAAGUGUGACUGCAGAAAAUUAAAUAAUAAGUUCUGAGGUCGUCAGAAGACGCAAUAAGAGGCACAGCUUUCCAAAGUCAGAGUGAUUAAAAAUAAAUAGAAAAAAUAAAAAACAGCAAACACUGUGGCUCAAGUAAAAAAAAAAAAAAUCAAAGUUGAUAUGAAAAAGACUAACAGACAAAAGAGGAAAACAGCUGGAAGUCAAGAGCCAAAUUCUCCCUGUAAAGAACAUAAAUCCAUUUUCUUCAACAUCUAUGGGAUAGUGCCAAGAAAUUAUAAUAUAGGUGACAACAUCUAAUAAUGACAGAAGGAUUUUUUUGUUCAAUUAUUAACACAGUUAAGAUAUGAUAUGAUGAGAUAAGGGAUAGUGUUUUUAAUAUAAAUUAAAAAGGUUAAAGCUCACACCUUUACCUUUAGUAUUUAUUUAUUUAUUUAAAUUCAAAUUUUAAUUAAUUAGUCUUAGCAGUGAGUCAUGGAGUUCCACAGGGUUCUGUGCUGGGACCAACAUCUUUCUUACUGUACAUGUUUCUCUUAGGCAGUUAGUAGAACGUUUUAUAACUAGAACACACAGAAGACAUUUCCCCUGGUAUGCAGAUGAGUUAUACUGAAGCCAGAUGGCACAAAUCAGUUAAACUAUAUUCAUGGUAGGACAUUCAAAUUCACUCACUUGUAGUCAUUCCCAGUACUCACUUGUGCCUCCCCUUCCUCUUGGGCACAAGUAGCCUUGCCUAAAAACCCCAUCUUUGUAAACUACCAUCUCUGACUGUCUGUUGCGUCGUGUCACCACAUCCUAUAGGGACACAUCUCUUAUUAAUAAAAUCAGGGGAAAUUGACCUUAAUCUCGUCAUUCUGCAUUUUUGAGUCACCUGUUCUUGUUGAGUUUAAAACACAUCCCAUGUCAGGAUGAUGAUUUCUAACUUCCAACUCUUAGAUAAGUGUAAUCCCCUAUUAUCAGGAUUAAAAUCUCUAUCAUUGGGUUUUUAUGUGUAAUAUUUUUUUCUUGCUGCAAGGUCUCAUCUUAUCUUUAGAUAUUUACUUUCAUAGUUGCAAUAUAUAAUUAAAAUUAAACAGAAUUAAAUUAAUGUGCAACCACGAAAGAACUGGGUGAGACAAAUGUCUCUGACAGUACAGUGCUCCAACGGGUGUGAGUCCCAACUUGGCUGGUAGUUGGGGGCGGGGGCUGGUGGGCUGUUUAAUGGCGUUCUGUGUAGAGCUGCUGGUGGCACCUGGUUUGCACAGAGGAGAUUACUAAAAUGUGUGUGUGUGUGUGUGUGUGUGUGUGUGUGUGUGUGUGUGUGUGUGUGUGUGUGUGUGCAGGGUGAGUGAUUGGUCCUGACAGCAGUCUCUGUAUUGCUGGCUGGCCUGCAGAUUUAGCCGACCUGUUUUAGACACUCUAAUCUGGAUUAACUGCAGCAGUGUGUCAGUUGGGACGAGGACCGGAGCCUCCCCCACCCCCUGCCCCUUCACCUGCUUUUCCUCUCACUUCCCCUCCAUCCACCCAUCCAUCUGUAUGUGGGUCUUUUCUCCCCGUCUUCCAUCCACCUGGAUACCUGGUCUCUGUCUUCUUUACCAUCUUUCUGAGCUUUAAGGCCUCGUUCAGCACACAAAUCAGAAAAUGUUCAGUUUCAUAUAUAGACGUUGGCUCACUUGAUUCACUCUGAAAAUGUCUCUGUAAGUCCUGUCUUGGGGGGAAGGGUAGGGAUUAAACCAGCUCAGUCCUCUUCCCUAUUUCCCUAUUUGUUGUUGCAGCCGUAGGAAGAGCUGUCCCACUGAUGAACAGAGAGCACAUUGCAAUCAUCAAGCGGGCAGUGUUUGAACACCACUUCUAUUUUAAACAAACAUAAAUCAGUCCGAAAAGAUUAGCAGUGUUUAAUAAAAAGAACAUCACUAUUCAACAACACCAACACCCUAAAAGAAAAUAAAACAGAACGAUUACAUAGCUAAAAGUAAAACAUUACUCUUUAAUAAGUCAUGAUUUAACAAUCUAAUAAAACAACAACAAAGCUCGUCGAGGCCAGAACCCUAUAAGCCUGUAAAGGUGCCUGUCAGUCACACAUGUACAGUAUGAUACACUCACUCCUGAGGAUGAUUCUUUCAUCACUGGCAACAACCUGCUCCACAAGAACAGUUUGGGACUAACGCGACCCCAACUGUGUGUUUUUAAUCCAUUCCCAUGUAAACCCAAGGUGCCUCCUUCAGGUGCAGCAGCUCUGAGUUCUCUGUUGUGCGCUCUCUCCUCUCCUUCCAGUGCAUCUUCUUCUCUUACCUUUUUUGGUUAAGUUUACCUGCUGACCCAUCCAAUUCACACCCCUGCAGUGCUGCUGCUGUUGUUCCAUCCCGCACCGCCACUGAACGGAUUGCUCUGUCUUUCCUCUCUUUAUCUGGAGAUAAGAUACUUACUUUUGAGAUAAAGCAUAUUAUGAUAAAUCAAAUGAGCUUUAUUGCUUUUGUGCAUCUGGGUGUUUGUGUGUGUGCGUGUGCGUGUGUGUGUGUGUGUGUGUGUGUUAAUACAGCUGCUUUGCAGAUAGAUAUAAUCUGUGAAUCCAUGAAGUGUUGCAGAUGUGCCCCAGGUUCACUGAUCAGGGAGGGAAAAUGACUGAGCAUGAUCUGUGGGAACUAACUUCUUGUAGGCAUCAUAGUUUUUAUUCUAGAAAUUAUUUUUUAUUUUGAUAAACUACACAGGUUAGGAUUGUGGACUGUAUGUUUAAAAUAUACAAUCAGACUGAAAAUUAUAUAUUUAAUAUGGUAGAUUAGAAGUUUGGGGGAGAUAUCUAUAUUAUUUAUACUUGGAGGACUUUCUUUGUAUGUAUUCAGGUUAGAAUAAAU
ensembl:lncRNA